GGAAAAGCCACCGAGAGGCCUGACCCUGAGGGGUCGGGGGGAGAUGCGGGCGCGUAGUAGAGGGAAGCGACUGAGGAGCGGGGACUGGGCAGCAUUUGAAUGGAUGCGGGUGCCGCUGGCACCCGGGAAGACGCCUGGGAGCCGGCGCUGGGGAGCCGGGCAUGGGCUGGGAUGUGUUUGGAUUCCAAUCUGGGCCUGACACCAGUUCAGUGACCUCGGGAAGUUCCCCAACCCUGCGGGCCUGUUUCCUCCCUCUGAAGUGGCGACAGUAAUAGAACCGACCUCGUAGGCUCAUCGGGAGGUCCUGAUGGGAGAACCCAUGCAACUUGCCACCACAGAGCCAGGCCCGCGGCGACUGGCUCCUGGUGGGUAUUAAAGACGAGUCGGGAAAGAAGAGCAGGGUUGCCUGCUGAGGAAGCUUUUCACAGCAUGAGACCUUCCGCAGGCUCAAUCAAACCUUCAAUGGCCCCGAAAGACAUCUUGAUUGAAACCUCAUGAGAGACUCUGAGCCAGAAAACCCAGCAACUUAGAACCCAGAUACCUGACCAUCAGCCACUGUGUGAAAUAAUAAAUGUUUGUUGUUUUAA
rnacentral:lncRNA from 1 species